rnacentral:rRNA from 1 species
GCUUAUCACCAUUUCUAGAUUGAAAUAUACCCCGAUCUUCGUCUGAUCUCGGAAGUCAAGCAAUCUCGGGCUUGGUUAGUACUAGGAUGGGUGACCGCUUGGGAAUACCAAGUGUGAUAAGCA